GCGCAAUUGGUCUAGUGGUAUGAUUCUCGCUUGUACGUAUAACUCAAAAAUUCCCAUGUUUUAAAAAUAUACUAAUUUGACCGAAGAGGGUGCGAGAGGUCCCAGGUUCGAAUCCUGGAUUGCGCC